rnacentral:misc_RNA from 1 species
GUAUUUGUCACGUUUAUCAGACGCGAUAUGAUGUACAUUCUGUCAUACUUUGAGCGUGUGUGAAAAUAUUCAUAGACAAAGGCAUUCGUCGCCCCAUCAGGGCUCCGUGAUCAUCCCAAGCUACAGGCAGUGCACAGGUGUGGGAGGUGGAUGCGCGAUCAGGGUGUGCACAUGCCCCUUGGAGGCCAGCUACAACCCUUCUCGACAAACAUUUCAUUAAUGAUCCUUCCGCAGGUUCACCUACGGAAA